rnacentral:rRNA from 1 species
CGCGCAGGCGGUCGUUCAAGUCGCGUGUGAAAGCCCCCGGCUCAACUGGGGAGGGUCACGCGAUACUGAUCGACUCGAAGGCAGGAGAGGGUAGUGGAAUUCCCGGUGUAGUGGUGAAAUGCGUAGAUAUCGGGAGGAACACCAGUGGCGAAGGCGACUACCUGGCCUGUUCUUGACGCUGAGGCGCGAAAGCUAGGGAGCAAACG